rnacentral:rRNA from 1 species
CAGCAGCCGCGGGAACACGGAGGGGGCUAGCGUUGUUCGGAAUUACUGGGCGUAAAGCGCACGUAGGUGGCUUGGUAAGUUAGAGGUGAAAGCCUGGAGCUCAACUCCAGAAUUGCCUUUAGGACUGCCGAGCUAGCAGGUGAGAGAGGUAAGUGGAAUUCCGAGUGUAGAGGUGAAAUUCGUAGAUAUUCGGAAGAACACUAGUGGCGAAGGCGGCUUACUGGCUCAUACUGGACGCUGAGGUGCGAAAGCGUGGGGAGCAAACAGGAUUAGAUACCCCGGUAGUCCCUGUCUCUUAUAC